AAAACAGAAAAGAAUGUUCUUCAGAGGAAAAUAGAUGGUAAUGACCCCAAGGAGAUUCAGUUUUUCAUAAGACACAGUAGAUUUUGAAACACAGAGGAAUGCUUGAUACUUGAUAGGGACUCAUUUGUCUUAAACUGAGUUUUACAUUCAUGUUUUACAGGGCUUUUCUAUGAGUUACAAAGUAGUGGCUUAAACUGUUAAGGUUUGACCUGUGUUGAUGAUUGAGCUUCUUUUUUAUUUGUUCGAACAAGAGACUAGUUUUGAUUCACCCAGUCUUACAAUUACAUUGUGAAAUCAUAUUUGAAGACGUAUAAUAUAAUAAUCAUUGUUGACAGAUUUGAUGCUAUAUGUCAGUCCUUUUUAAAAUGUUUUUAUUAAUAAUGUUCUUGAAAAAUGUGAUCAGGUGAAAAGAGGAAGGGAAUAGAUAUGGAAAAGAAACAAGACAGAGGCAAAAAUGAAGGAGGGGGGAAGAAAAAGGGGGAUAAAUCUCUCUGCCUUACCUCUCUCCUCUCUAGGCAAGACGGUUUACAGUCCCAUUAUGGUUUUCAACAGAAACUUUUACAUCUCUUGGAGAGACAUCUUCCACCCUGAAUCGUACAAAUGUCUCUGUUUCUUACUUCUAUGAAGUAAAGAUAAAGCACUUAGCAGUAUGCUUGGCACAUAAUGUGCAUUUACUCCAUGUUUUUAAGUUUAAUACAUUAUAUAAGUGUGUAAAUAGGCCCUCAAUAAAGAUGAAAAACUACGUUCUUUGGAUCAAUGAGAGGAAAACUGAGAGAAGAAAGUGGAUUUGCCAAACUAAACUUCAACAAAGAUCCCCAGGGCACAGUCUGGGGAUUUGAAGGCAUUCAGCAAAUGCUGUUCAACGAAGAAAUGAAUAAGAAGCUGUCAGAAUAUUUAAGACAUAUGGUGCAUAGGCCUCCCACCAAAGAAGUGACAGCAGGAAUGGAGAGAAAGAAGGACAUCAGAGGUAUUUAAAAGAAACAAUCGUCAGGACAUGGUGACUGGAUGAAGAAAUGACAAGACCCAGAAACAAUUACAAUGUCCAGCCAGAAAGGUCCGGUGGCACUUUGGUACAAUUGAAGACACUAGGAAAUGUAGAUGCGUAGGUAGAUUCCCCACGCCCUCUUUUUUUUUUUUUUUUUUUUUUUUUUUUUGGGAUGGAGUUUUGCUGUGUCACCCAGGCUGGAGUGCAGUGGCACAAUCUCGGCUCAUUGCAACCUCUGCCUCCUGGGUUCAGGCGAUUCUCCUGCCUCAGCCUCCUGAGUAGCUGGGAUUACAGGUGCGUGCCACCACGCCUAGCUAAUUUUUUAUUCUAGUAGAGACAGGAUUUCACUAUGUUAGCCAGGCUGGUCUUGAACUCCUGACCUUAAGUGAUCCACCUACCCGGCCUCCCAAAGUGCUGGGAUUAUAGGCAGAGCCACCACAUCUGGCUUUUCCCACCCCCUCUUAUUUCACCAGUUGAUAGUUCUUGGGGCCUGGGAGUGGAGUGGAAGAAAGUGAGGUGGAUGGGACAGUGAGAGCAAUGUAUGAUGUCCUAUUCUAAAAUAUAAAAUAAUAAUAAUGCAAAUAAUAAUGUAAAUAAGUCAACCACAUGCUCAAGAAUUAAAGAUAAGGCUUAAGAUACAGAUACAUAAUUAAAACUACACUAAGCUAUUGAUUCUCUGGCAAUACUUUUAAGGAUACCUCUAAUUCCAAAGGCCUAUUAUAUUUGACAAAAAGCCUAUACGAUAUGCAAGAAUUGUAUUUUCUCAAUAUCAACCAUCACAUUUAGAAAACCUUCAGAAAGCAUAUGUACAUAGUAUCUUAUGUGUAAGUGAAUGAGAAUUUUAUGAAUAAACUUUUUAAGGGAAUUAAGACAAUACAAUCGUCUGUAUCUGAAAUAAAGCAGAGACAAAGGCAAAGAUUAUAGCUAUGGAUGAGGUGAACUGAGUAUCAAUACAUUCUAAGAUAACAUAGAGUUAAUGAAAUUUAUUAAAUGAUCAAUACCAGUAUAAUAAAUAUCCUGGCAAUAGUAAAACUGAUAGCCCAUAAUAAAGAGGAAAAUAUAUUCGAAUAGUCUUCCAAGAAGACAAAAAUAUAAAUACAUGGAGUUGUUUUUUUUUUUUUGAGAGAUGGAGUCUUGCUCUGACACCCCAGCUGGAGUGCAGUGGUGUGAUCUUGGCUCUCUGCAAGCUCUGGCUCCUGGGUUCACGCUAUUCUCCUGCCUCAGCCUCCAGAGUACCUGGGACUACAGGUGCCCACCACCACGCCCGGCUAAUUUUUUUGUAUUUUUAGUAGAGACGGGGUUUCACCAUGUUAGCCAAGAUGGUCUCGGUCUCUUGACCUCGUGAUCCACCCGCCUCGGCCUCCCAAAGUGCUGGGAUUAUAGGCAUGAGACACCAUGCUCGGCUGGAGACAUUUUUUACCAGAAAUUAUUUUGUUCUAUCAAUUACUUUGAAGAUACACUAAGCAGUUAUGAAUUAGAUGAAAUUAGCAAAGGUUGCAACAAUGUUAGGCAUGAACUGGUGAUAAUGCUGAGCCCAUUUCAACCAGAAAUAGAUGAAUUUAGUUUUGCUUAAAGGAAAGAUGAUCAGCCCAGCCAGGCACUGACCUCAGUAAACCAUUUCUAAACAGAGGAAGCUCUAACUUCCUCAUUUUGCCCAAAAAUGCUGCAUUAUGGGAAGUCAAGCCUAGGUAUUUCCAGGGUUCUCACUCCAGCUGUCCAUUCAGCUGCAGCCUGAGCCACCUGUUGCUACCCACAAACCUCCUCAACCAAGGACAGUGGGGAUCUAGGACCGUGUCUUUUGCAUUGCUUCGUGUCUAAGGAAGGUUGAGACUGCUUAAGAAUAGGAAUUUCACUCUUGCAAUGUAGCUAAGUGUCAAGGUCUGGGAAAGAAUGCUGCUACCAAGGGUGGCUCCGCAGGCUUUUAUUUUGUCCCACAGCUUGGUUCCAGACACCAACUCUUUAUCCUUCAGUCACCCUAGGGUGACUAAUGUCUAUCAGAUGCCUCAAUGUAUCUUUAUAUUGAACCUAAAUCUUCUUGGGUUAACUUAUGGAGAAUGGACAGAAAUGACUUGGGGAAGAAUGAGUAUAACAAGUGAGCAUGUAUAGAACCCAAAAGAUCUGAAUAUGAAGGACUUUUGGGAAAUAAAUCACUCUUUUUCAGUUUAUUGCUGUAAACAGUGUCAAGCUUGCUUUCCAACUACUGCGUCACAUAAAUGCCAACUCAUUUUCAUGUACUUUCUGAAAGAGAUAACAGAAACAGCAAAACAACAAAUAUGAUUAUAAAAAU
rnacentral:lncRNA from 1 species